UUGAGGGGGUGUGUUUCCGGCUUUUAGAAGAGGUGGGCGGAUUCGGCGGGUGCGAGGUCACCCACCAGAUGUGUAACCUGCUGUCUGCUGAAGCGAACCUCUGAGUUGAAAUGAGACAUGGUGAAAAAAGGUCCCCAGGGAGCAAAUCUGAAAGCCGGCUUCUCCAGAACAUAGACUGCCAGGGGACGAGACGACUUUAGACACCGUCCCCAGCAGAUUGAUAGAUGAAGCAUAAAACAAGACCAGAUGCUGUGGUUUCCAGGAUGCACUUGGCUUCCCAUCCCUUAUAACCUGGAGCAUUUUUUGCUUAAGUUCAGUUCAGUUCAGUCACUUAGUUGUGUCUGACUCCUUGCGACCCCAUGAAUCGCAGCACGCCAGGCCUCCCUGUC
rnacentral:lncRNA from 1 species